CUCCAGUGCGCACUGCCGCCUUGGAGAUGCUCACCGCCGUGGCCCACGGUGGGGUCGGGGAGAAGCAAACUGGCCCCCGACAGGAAUUGAUCCGUCGUAUCCUGCCAGUCCUCGUCCAUAUGAGGGAUGAGGACGCCGCCGUACGGAAAGUAAGUCACUCUGCGUCUGUAGUCCCUGCCUUGCCCCGGCCCCUCCCUUUCUCUCCAUCACCUGCUACCUGGCCUCUCCGUCUCGCUGACCAGCAUUUGGUCUUAUUUCUCCCGAAAGCCAGAGCGACGGUUUUUUGCCUGGCCGACAACCUGGGAUGGACGAAUAUUAAAUCUGUGAGCCAGAAAUUGAUGGGGGAGUAGGGAUUGCGUGGGGCCUCGUACGCCAUCUGGUCUUAUAUGGUGAGUGGGCUCAGGACAGUCGGGAGCAGGCCCCGGGGGCUCCGGUGGGAAACGCGGGGAGACCCCCGGCUUCCAGAAAGAGGUUGCCGGGACUGAGGUAGAAACAGCACUGGGACGGGGCGGGCAGGAGCCCGGAAGGGCUGGCCGAGGACAGAGCCCAGUGCCCAGAGAGGCAAUGGAGAUAACAGUGAUUCUCCGCAGACAGUAGGGACAGGGAUUUUCAUGGUGCGUGAGCAUCCGCGGCAGGUCGGGAAGAGGUCGGGCUGGGGUCUCACUCCCUUCCUCCCCAGAUGAAGACCCUAAAGCACAGCCGCCAGGUUUUCAUGUCCCAGGCUCUGAACUACACCAACAGCCCCCAGCCAGGGGUGCGAGCGGCUGCUGUACUCUUCCUCGCACACACCACCUACUACAGUAGGGGAGAGGCGUGGCUCUCGACGGACGUCCUCCACUUCCUCUCCCAGACCUUUCAACGUUUGAGAACAGACCCCCUAAGCCUGGGUCGGCCACUUUGCUGCUUCUAGCAGAAGAGAAGCCAGGCCUGAAGGGGGCCAACCUGACGGAAGAUGAGAAGAGGAUCAGGAAGAGAUGGUGGCGGGACCAGUCCUGGUGUCAGCCUGUUCCUUGGGCUCACGGAGCCCGGAGUGGCGGGGGCUUCUGAAGGAUGCGCCCACUUGGGAGAAGGCAUUGCUCCCUAACUAUCAUUGCUUCCACUCCCACUAUUUAGCACUCAUAGCAUUUUGCCCCAAACCGAAUAGGAGCUGCUGCUCGACUGAGACAGACGAAGUGGGCCCUGGUUCUCGAGGUCUGCUUAUGGAUCAUAUGCCACCCUCUCCUUCCUACGGGCCGGUGGCAGCUGCUGCCACGGGGGCGUCAGCCUGAGGAGAAGCUGAGCCUGAAAGGAGACCCUAGCAUCCUGUCCCCGCUUCGGAGGGCCUGCUCGAAAGCAGCAGGGUUCGACGUUCGAAGCCCAUAUCAUUCGCCUCUACCACCCCCUCCAGGUAC